rnacentral:tRNA from 1 species
UCCCUCUUAGCUCAGUUGGUAGAGCGCGUCACUAGUAUCAGCGAUGACGAGGUCAGUCGUUCAAGUCGGCUAGAGGGAA